rnacentral:rRNA from 1 species
UGUGAUCAAAAAAAUACUUGAGUAGUAUGAGUUAUGUUCUUUAAACUUAAAGAAUUUGGCGGUGCUUUAGUCUGUUCAGAGGAACCUGUCCUGUAAUCGAUAGUCCACGUAGGAUCUUACUUAGUUUUGUUAUCAGCUUAUAUACCGCCGUCGUCAGAAUGUCUUUGGAAAGAUGGAAUUUUCUUAAAUUUUGAUUAAAAAUGAUGUCAGGUCAAGGUGUAGCUCAUAAUUAAGUAGUGAUGGGUUACAAUAAAUUUAUUUAAAUGGAUUAUUUUUUGAAAAAGAAGUAUGAAGGUGGAUUUGAGUGUAAUUUUGUUUAUAAUGUUAAUUUGAUUUUAGCUCUAAA